rnacentral:rRNA from 1 species
GGWCCUUCGGGGUCAGCGUUUAUUAGAUAAAGAACCAACAUUUUGGUGCUUCAUGGUAACCAUUCGGAUCGCACGCUCAGCGGCGAUGGUUCAUUCAAAUUUCUGCCCUAUCAACUUUCGAUGGUAGGAUAGUGGCCUACCAUGGUAUCAACGGGUAACGGGGAAUUAGGGUUCGACUCCGGAGAGGGAGCCUGAGAAACGGCUACCACAUCCAAGGAAGGCAGCAGGCGCGCAAAUUACCCAAUCCCGACRCGGGGAGGUAGUGACAAUAAAUACUGAUACRGGGCUCUUUUGGGUCUUGUAAUUGGAAUGAGUACAAUUUAAAUCCCUUAACGAGGAACAAUUGGAGGGCAAGUCUGGUGCCAGCAGCCGCGGUAAUUCCAGCUCCAAUAGCGUAUAUUAAAGUUGUUGCAGUUAAAAAGCUCGUAGUUGAACCUUGGGCCUGGYUGGCCGGUCCGCCUCACCGCGUGUACUGGUCCGGCCGGGCCUUUCCUUCUGGGGAACCUCAUGCCCUUCACUGGGCGUGUCGGGKAACCAGGACUKUUACUUUGAAAAAAUUAGAGUGUUCAAAGCAGG